rnacentral:rRNA from 1 species
UGGGGGAUAUUGGACAAUGGGGGCAACCCUGAUCCAGCCAUGCCGCGUGGGUGAAGAAGGCCUUAGGGUUGUAAAACCCUUUCAGCGGGGAAGAUGAUGACGGUACCCGCAGAAGAAGCCCCGGCUAACUCCGUGCCAGCAGCCGCGGUAAUACGGAGGGGGCUAGCGUCGUUCGGAAUUACUGGGCGUAAAGGGCGUGUAGGCGGUUUGUCUAGUCAGGCGUGAAAGCCCCGGGCUCAACCUGGGAACUGCGUUUGAUACUGGCAGGCUAGAGGUUGGAAGAGGAGAGUGGAAUUCCCAGUGUAGAGGUGAAAUUCGUAGAUAUUGGGUGGAACACCAGUGGCGAAAGCGGCUCUCUGGUUCGAUACUGACGCUGAGGCGCGAAAGCGUGGGGAGCAAACAGGAUUAGAUACCCGUGUAGUCC